rnacentral:rRNA from 1 species
UACGGAGGGGGCUAGCGUUGUUCGGAAUUACUGGGCGUAAAGCGCACGUAGGCGGCUUUGUAAGUUAGAGGUGAAAGCCCGGGGCUUAACUCCGGAAUUGCCUUUAAGACUGCAUCGCUAGAAUUGUGGAGAGGUAAGUGGAAUUCCGAGUGUAGAGGUGAAAUUCGUAGAUAUUCGGAAGAACACCAGUGGCGAAGGCGACUUACUGGACACAUAUUGACGCUGAGGUGCGAAAGCGUGGGGAGCAAACAGG